CGUAGGGUGCAAGCGUUAAUCGGAAUUACUGGGCGUAAAGCGUGCGCAGGCGGUGAUGUAACGACAGGUGUGAAAUCCCCGGGCUUAACCUGGGAACUGCAUUUGUGACUGCAUCGCUGGAGUGCGGCAGAGGGGGAUGGAAUUCCGCGUGUAGCAGUGAAAUGCGUAGAUAUGCGGAGGAACACCGAUGGCGAAGGCAAUCCCCUGGGCCUGCACUGACGCUCAUGCACGAAAGCGUGGGGAGCAAACAGGAUUAGAUACCCUGGUAGUCCACGCCCUAAACGAUGUCAACUGGUUGUUGGGUCUUCACUGACUCAGUAACGAAGCUAACGCGUGAAGUUGACCGCCUGGGGAGUACGGCCGCAAGGUUG
rnacentral:rRNA from 1 species